CCAAGCCAUUACAGUUUUUCCCUGUUUUUCAUUGUAUAUAUAUUUUCUGUGCUUUUAUUUGUUGGUGCUUUAAGUUUUAUAUCACGCGAAAAAAAAUUACAAUCUAUGAGACGAAUAAAUAUGAUUUUUGUGAAAAAGUACUCUCUCGAUUUUUAUCAAAACCAAGUAUGUGAUAAAUAUUUUAAUACUAUCGCGAAUGUUAUCCCACCUCUAAAACUGUAACUGUAACCUGGUAGAGAACUUUUAAGUUUUGAUUUGAACGUAGCGCGUAGAAUUUUCGCUGUACAUACUGUAUUGUGUAAAAAUGGAAAAUGUGUUUGAAACUUUAAUUGUUUUAUUAAAUGUUUUCAAAAUAUUAAGUCUCUCCUGUGAAAAAUCUAGAUGAACCCUGGAUUUUACUCAUUUUCAAGAUAAUAUUCACCAUCAAAGAAUCCGGACAUCGAAAACGGAAGUAAGACUCAACAAAACUGAAAGCUCAAGUUUUUUCUGACGAAACUGGAUGAUCUGUUACUUUAGUUCCCCGUACAGGUGGCUCUUCAGUUAUGUCUAAAGUUCGAACAGAGGAAUAGCACAGUUCGGAAAGCAGCUGGGAUAUCAACUCUGUGAUGUGAUGGCCGGCAUUCAUAAAAAUGAUCGUCACACGUGGCUCGACAUUCUGGACAGAAUGGAAGACGGUUCAGCCGUAAUCUCUGUCACAUGAUAGAUACAGGUAGGUAUAAGUCCCAUCGCAAUAACAGCUCAUCUCCGUCCUAAUUUUGAGGGAGAACAUCCCACAAGGCGGUCCAAAGGUCUCCCACCCCUCUUGUCCUAUUAUGAAGCAAUCGAGAGGGCUUUCGGUUCGCCGUGUAUUUCGAGAGCUGACUUCCUCACAAAUACUGAACGCUUACCAACAUUCAUGUUUUCUCUGAGAUUGGAACCCCGGUUCAUCGGUACAGCGUCACUAAACAUUAUAUGGUCCAAGUGACUCAUGUCACAUGAUGUGCGAAUAUUUUCUUUCAAUAUGGUCAAUAACCUCGACCAACCUCUGCGUAUCUGUGUCCUCAAGGAAAAAAUAUAAUCAUUCUGGCAAUAAGAUUUUUCAUUGUUUAAAGAAAAAUCCCAUGUCGUCCAGUGCAUUUCUGUGAAAACCGGAUAAUUUAUACUUUCGAAUUAUUGAAUUUUAUUCUUUUGUUACUUUUGGAUCAGCUUGGAUAUGCAUCUGUUUCAGUAAUAUCAUUUCUACUGUUCUCAUUUAAUUAACAGAAUAAGCAAAGGGGUACCUGGAAAAAAAAAGAAAAAUAGCAGUUUUACUCUAGUAAUGUAAACCAGAGUUCUGCAUAUUAUGAAUAAAUCUUUGAUGCCUGCCAUCUUCAGCUAAAAUAAAUGCGAAUUAAUGACCCAUACAAACUCGGCAACUGACGCAUUAAAACAUUCCGUAAACUCAUAAAAAGGCAGAAAGGCGUUAGAAAGGUAAAAAAAAAAAAAAAAAAAAUACGCCAUCUAUAGCUUUUCAGUACAGGGCAGGUGAAAGAUUUAUGCAUUGAAAGCACAUGCAAGAGCAGAAGCAAUUAACUAAACCUGCGCUUUUCAACUUAUCUCACUUGAUUUCUCCACGAGCCAUAAAAAAUAACAGGAAAGUUUCUUCGGUGAAUAAAUUAUGACUUUUUCACAUCACGUGAUACAAUUUACAGCAUUUCAUUAAGUCAGCAAAGUUCUUGCAAAAUGAUGGCAGAAACAAAAUACACAACUGAUAAAAAAAAUUGACGGUAGCUUCAAAAUUUAAGAUUUCUGUCAGACCCCUCAAAAACUUUGCAUUUAGCGUUUAAAACUUAAUUACAUUUACAAAUUUUUAAAAUAUUAAAAUCGUAAAAUUUUAAAACACUGCCUCCGCAUGCUGAUUUCAGUUCAAGAUCUAAAAUGAUCUAAAGCUCAAUAGCUAUGUUUAGAAUAUUAGUUUCAUAAUUAAAAUCCCAGAAAUACAAAAUUUGAAUAAAAAAUCUUAUUUAAAGUAAGCUGUUGAAAAAAAGCAAUGCUAAAUGGGGGUGGAGAGAGAUGGAUACUAUUAUGAUAUUUCAUGAUAAAAACUACUGCCGCAUGGAGACUUUUGAGCUUACUAAGACAAGAAAUUCCAAAGAGUAAGCAUCUUUUCAAUAUGUAUUUAAAAAAUUAUGUUCCAUAAAUCGAAAUAAUCGCAGACAUUAUCAAAAACCACAUAUAUUAGUUUUUUUUAUAAUUAUACACAAACUUAUCAGCUAUCAUAUAAAAAUGAACAUUAGAAAUAUGCAUUAAUUAAAUUCUGAAUAAUGUUUCACUUUCUAAGAAUCAUUUUAAAAUUACAUUCAAAUAUGGAGAAACUUUUAGACCAAUUUUUACAGAAAUUCGGUCAUAGAAUUAUGAAUUUUGUACAUUAAACAAGCAGUCACAAUGCAAUUCUUCCAUGAGAUAUUUCUAAGCCCCCAAAAUUAAGAGUUACCUUGGAGAGAUGAAAAUUUUGCAAUGUAGCCAAAAUCCAAAACUAAGUAUUUUGUGCAGCUAGGUUGAAAUUAAAGGAGAAUAACAGUUUUCCUUUAACUAACAAGAAAUAUUUGAUUUACGUCUUUCAUCUAAAUUUAUCGGAGUGGGACUUUCAAAUUUUCACAAAUUUUCUUCCAUUGUGACAUAAUGAUUUGAAGGAAAAUUAUUUCCGUACUAAAAUUUUCAGCUUAGUUUGUAAUUGUAAAUAACUGAAAGCUCAAACAAAAUACUAUAUAUAAGCCAAAAAUAAAAUAUGAAAGUUCAAACAAAUAAAAAUAAAAAAAAAUCCCAUAACUUACACAACAUUUAUUCAGGAAUUUAAACGAGAAUUCUUAGAAAGCCCCCCCUAGCGAAUAUGAAUUCCCUUUAUACCCAAAAAUGGACCGCACUCAAUAGCAAGACUGUUUAGGACUAUAAAUAAUAAUAGGUAAAAAAAUAUGUCACACGGUAAAUAACAAUUAUAUAUCACUGCGUAAUGUAAUACUAAUAAUAUGAUACCAAUAAUAAUAAUAUAAUACUAAUAUGUAAUUUAACACUAUAAGUAAUACUCCAAAUACAGUACAACUAUAAUGUUGUAAAUUGUUAAAACGAUAAAUUAUAAUACUGUUACAGAACCGAUGACAGCUUAAUGAAAUUUAUUUUUUCAGAAAUACAGUUUUGGAACUUUUCACACAAAUAUUUUCGUAAAGCCCUUCUCAAUAUAACAAAGCACAAUAAGUAGUUACCACUUCAAGCUAUUAAGAACAUUGAACACAUAGUUUCCCCUAUCCAUCAAGAAAUUUUCAGUACCUUCUAUUUCUCGAAAUUGCUGGAAGGCAUAUACAGUUACAUUGGAAUCGGACUAAAAUGUCAUCAAGCUCGUCAGCAUUUGGGGAUUUCUCGCCAAAACCAUUGCCAGUUUGGCGCAUUGGCGAGACGGUUAUUUACCUCGACGUUAAAUGACUUAACCCAGGCGAUGCUAAGCAUUCUGAUGACUUUAAUAUAUUA